rnacentral:rRNA from 1 species
GACGAACGCUGGCGGCGUGCUUAACACAUGCAAGUCGAACGGAAAGGCCCUGCUUUUGUGGGGUGCUCGAGUGGCGAACGGGUGAGUAACACGUGAGUAACCUGCCCUUGACUUUGGGAUAACUUCAGGAAACUGGGGCUAAUACCGGAUAGGAGCUCCUGCUGCAUGGUGGGGGUUGGAAAGUUUCGGCGGUUGGGGAUGGACUCGCGGCUUAUCAGCUUGUUGGUGGGGUAGUGGCUUACCAAGGCUUUGACGGGUAGCCGGCCUGAGAGGGUGACCGGCCACAUUGGGACUGAGAUACGGCCCAGUCUCCUACGGGAGGCAGCAGGGGGGAAUAUUGCACAAUGGGCGGAAGCCUGAUGCAGCAACGCCGCGUGCGGGAUGACGGCCUUCGGGUUGUAAACCGCUUUCGCCUGUGACGAAGCGUGAGUGACGGUAAUGGGUAAAGAAGCACCGGCUAACUACGUG